GCGCUUAGCUCAGUUGGUAGAGCGUCUGCCUUACAAGCAGAAUGACGGCGGUUCGAUCCCGUCAGCGC
rnacentral:tRNA from 1 species